UACGGAGGGUGCAAGCGUUAUCCGGAUUCACUGGGUUUAAAGGGUGCGUAGGAGGGCAGGUAAGUCAGUGGUGAAAUCUCCAAGCUUAACUUGGAAACUGCCGUUGAUACUAUCUGUCUUGAAUAUUGUGGAGGUGAGCGGAAUAUGUCAUGUAGCGGUGAAAUGCUUAGAUAUGACAUAGAACACCAAUUGCGAAGGCAGCUCACUGGCCCGAUACUGACGCUGAGGCGCGAAAGCGUGGGGAGCAAACAGG
rnacentral:rRNA from 1 species